AGCGGCAGACGGGUGAGUAACGCGUGGGAAUCUACCCAUCACUACGGAACAACUCCGGGAAACUGGAGCUAAUACCGUAUACGUCCUUCGGGAGAAAGAUUUAUCGGUGAUGGAUGAGCCCGCGUUAGAUUAGCUAGUUGGUGGGGUAAUGGCCUACCAAGGCGACGAUCCAUAGCUGGUCUGAGAGGAUGAUCAGCCACACUGGGACUGAGACACGGCCCAGACUCCUACGGGAGGCAGCAGGG
rnacentral:rRNA from 1 species